rnacentral:rRNA from 1 species
UUAUUAUUUAUUUAUUAAAUUAAUUUUAUUUUUAAAUUUAAAUUAUUAAAAAUAAUUAUAUAAUAUAAUGUUUUAGUAUAUUUUAUAAAAUAAAUAAAAUUUAAUAAUAGUUUAUUAGUAUUGUUAAAUAAAAUUGAAAUAUAAUGAAAAAUUUUUAUUUUAAAAGAAAAUUUAAUUUAUUGUAUCUUGUGUAUCAGAGUAUAUUAAAUAAAAAAUAAUUAAUAUUAUUUUUCUCGAUUUUAAAAGAUUUAAUAAAUUAAUAAAUAUAAUGUAAUAAAAUUAUUUUUAAUAAUUUAUUAGAAAUGAAAUGUUAUUCGUUUUUAAAGGUAUCUAGUUUUUUAAGAAAUAAAUUUAAUUUAAAAUUUUAAAAUUUAUUUAUUUAAUUUAUUAUUAAUUAAAUAAUUUUUAAAAUUUAAUAUUUUAUGGGAUAAGCUGUAAAAUAAAUUUUUAUAAAUAAUAAAUAUUUAUUUAAUAUAUUAUAUGGUUAGAAUUAUCAAUUUAUAUAAAGUUUGUUAUAAAUUAUUUUUUAUAUUAUAUUAUUUAUUAUAUUUUAAAUUUUUAUUAAAAUAUUUAUUUAAAUAUAAAAAAUAAAUUAAUAAUGAUAUAAUUAGUAUAUUUUUUUGUAUAAUUAAAUUUAUAAAUGUUAAGUUUUAAUAAAGAAUUCGGCAAAAAUAAUAUUCGCCUGUUUAACAAAAACAUGUCUUUUAGAAAUUAAUUUAAAGUCUAGCCUGCCCACUGAUUUUUUUUUUAAAUGGCCGCAGUAUAUUAACUGUGCAAAGGUAGCAUAAUCAUUAGUCUUUUAAUUGAAGGCUGGAAUGAAUGGUUGGACGAAAUAUUAACUGUUUCAUUUAAAUUUAUAAUAAAAUUUUAUUUUUUAGUUAAAAAGCUAAAAUUUAUUUAAAAGACGAGAAGACCCUAUAAAUCUUUAUAUAAAUAUUAUUUUAUAUUUUAUAAAUAAAUUUUAUUAAAAUAAUAAUUUUAUAUUUUAUUGGGGUGAUAUUAAAAUUUAAAUAACUUUUAUUAAUAAAAAUCAUUAAUAUAUGAAUAGUUGAUCCAUUUUUAAUGAUUAUAAAAUUAAGUUACUUUAGGGAUAACAGCGUAAUUUUUUUGGAGAGUUCAUAUUGAUAAAAAAGAUUGCGACCUCGAUGUUGGAUUAAGAUAUAAUUUUAGGUGCAGCCGUUUAAAAUUUAAGUCUGUUCGACUUUUUAAAUCUUACAUGAUCUGAGUUCAGACCGGCGUAAGCCAGGUUGGUUUCUAUCUUUAAUAAAUAAAUAUAUUUUAGUACGAAAGGAUUAAAUAUAUAAAUAAUUUUAUUUUUAGUUUAAGAAUAUAAUUAAUAUUUA